rnacentral:rRNA from 1 species
UAUAGAGGUCUCAAGCGUUGUUCGGAUUCAUUGGGCGUAAAGGGUGUGUAGGUGGCGCGCUAAGUCGGGUGUGAAAUUUCGGAGCUUAACUCCGAAACUGCAUUCGAUACUGGCGUGCUUGAGGACUGGAGAGGAGACUGGAAUUCAUGGUGUAGCAGUGAAAUGCGUAGAGAUCAUGAGGAAGACCAGUGGCGAAGGCGGGUCUCUGGACAGUUCCUGACACUGAGGCACGAAGGCCAGGGGAGCAAACGGG